UCAAGGUUCAAGUGGAGGUUGAGGUUUGAUGGUGACGGGUGGGUACAGAAUUAUUGACCAAGUCAUCAAAGAAAUUGAACAUCAAAUAAGGUAAGGGUUUGGUGGUGGUAGAGACUAGAGAGUUAGUGUUGACCAAGCCGUCAAAAUGACAUAAGGUUUGCAUACGAACCAUGAAAUCCGCAUGAUUAAGCGACUAUAUAUAUGGUGCCUUUGCUAAAGCAAGAGGGUUUAGUAGCAUUUAGUCUUUUAGAGUGGAUUAUUUCAUCAUUCAAGCUGGAAGAAUCAUCCAAUAACUAUUUACCUUUUUUGUCCCCAAAGAUAUGAAAUUAUGAAAGCUGUGUAGACAUCUCUCUGGCUUGGUCAAGAAUUUGAGGAGUGCAUACGGGAAUCAGUUACAGGUUCUUUCAGUUUACAUGGUGAUUAUACAGAUAAGUAAAUGACCAACCAGCUACUAAUCAACGAGAUUUAAGAAGUAAACAGUUGCUGGUCACAGUUCACCGUGGAAAAGUUGCACUUGUGUAGCUAAGCGCGACAACAGCUUAGAUGUUAAAAAUUG
rnacentral:lncRNA from 1 species